ensembl:snRNA U6 U6 spliceosomal RNA
GUGCUUGCCUUGUCAGCACAUAUACUAAGAUUGGAAUGAUACAGAGAAGAUUAGCAUGGCCCCUGCACAAGGAUGACAUGUAGAUUUAUGCAGUGUUCCAUAUUUCU